GACAAGUAAUAAAUGAUGUGAAAUAGACGGGUUUCCCAUGCUCAAUGGAGUUGAGCCGAUAGUCCACUAGCAGUUUGACAUGUGGGACUUUAAUUUUGCAUACCAUUGCAUAUAGUAGUUUAAGUUCUUCAUCACUUUAGGUGUGACCUCUAAUUCUAGGAAAAAGAGUAAUACACAUCCAGUAAUGAAGAAAAUGUAGGGUCCGAUUAUGGAUUUGGUAGGGUGCAUGAUUAGAGCAGUCAUUGGAGCCAGAAAUUGCUUUCGAAAAGUCAUUUUUGCUAAACCCAUUAGUGGCAUGGUCUAGAUCAAGUUGGCAAUUGUGCUCACAUCCUAGGGUGGUGUUCAAGAUGCUCUAAGUUAAAUUAUAUUCUUCCCCAAACAUGCAAAAUGCUACCCCAUUAAUUGUUAAUUGUAAGGUACACAAGAAAUUCUUGGGUGAGCACUUUUAUUCCAAGUUCGGGAACUAUCCAAAAUCCUCCCCAACCAAUUGUGCUAAAAAUAGCAUUAAAUUUUGUGCUCAUACUUGUGCGGUCCAAGAGAACCGGAUCGAUGAUGCUUGUGCAUUGGAAACUACUUGCUCACAGGGUGUUUUAUUUCUACAGCUCUUCUUGGUUUAACAUGAGGCCGCUCUCGGGCUCUAUUACUCUUGAUGGAGGCUCAUAGAGUACCAAUUGGUGGUAGCUCUCUUCCUCAUCCUUCUUCCAAUGGGUUCCUUCAUCGAUGUGGUGAGAGUCUUGGGAAGAAAUCUCACCCUUCUUGGACUUUUUGAACCUGGAGGUGAGUAACUUCUUCAUCUAGCUGCACAAGUGAGGCAAACCAAGAUCCUACUACUAGUACUAUGCAAGAG
rnacentral:lncRNA from 1 species